UUACCUGGCGUCAGGAUGAACGCUGGCGGCGUGCCUAACACAUGCAAGUCGAACGGAGAUAUUGCUUGGAAGCUUUUCGAGGUGAAAGAGAAGUAUCUUAGUGGCGGACGGGUGAGUAACGCGUGGGCAACCUGCCUCAUACAGGGGGAUAGCAUCGGGAAACUGGUGGUAAAACCGCAUAAGCGCACGAGGACGCAUGUUUUUGUGUGAAAAGGAGAAAUCUGGUAUGAGAUGGACCCGCGUCUGAUUAGCUAGUUGGAGUGGUAAAAGCACACCAAGGCAACGAUCAGUAGCCGGCCUGAGAGGUGGACGGCCACAUUGGGACUGAGACACGGCCCAGACUCCUACGGGAGGCAGCAGUGGGGAAUAUUGCACAAUGGAGGGAACUCUGAUGCAGCGACGCCGCGUGAGUGAAGAAGUAAUUCGUUAUGUAAAGCUCUAUCAGCAGGGAAGAAAGUGACGGUACCUGAAAAAGAAGCUCCGGCUAAAUACGUG
rnacentral:rRNA from 1 species